rnacentral:rRNA from 1 species
GAUGAACGCUGGCGGCGUGCCUAACACAUGCAAGUCGAGCGAACCCUUCGGGGUGAGCGGCGGACGGUGAGUAACGCGUGGGUAACCUGCCCUAUACACACGGAUAACGUACCGAAAGGUACGCUAAUACGAGAUAAUAUAUUUCAUCGCAUGUUGAAAAUAUCAAAGCUCCAGCGGUAUAGGAUGGACCCGCGUCUGAUUAGCUAGUUGGUAAGGUAAUGGCUUACCAAGGCGACGAUCAGUAGCCGACCUGAGAGGGUGAUCGGCCACAUUGGAACUGAGACACGGUCCAAACUCCUACGGGAGGCAGCAGUGGGGAAUAUUGCACAAUGGGCGAAAGCCUGAUGCAGCAACGCCGCGUGAGCGAUGAAGGCCUUCGGGUCGUAAAGCUCUGUCCUCAAGGAAGAUAAUGACGGUACUUGAGGAGGAAGCCCCGGCUAACUACGUG